AAGAAAAACACAAACCCACUCUCAACGACAGUCUCCGCCAAGCAGUGCUUUCAACUUAACUGGAGGAAAAAUAUGUCACUUCACUGGAGAAACCACUGAAAUUCCGCAGCACUUUUCACUACUAGCAACUUAUUGUAUCUCCAUCUUUCCCAACGAUCCUGCUCUGUGCAAAGAGGCAACGUAUGAUCAGAAGUGGCAUGUGAGCCGGCGCAUCAGAUGCUUUCCUGUUCCGUGAUGUGAAAGCCCCAAGACGAAGAGGAACAAAAAAUAAAAACCGUUUCAAAAGUGGGAUCCAGAGCCACGUGUUCAGCAUCCGGAUGGGAAGAGAAGCAUGUCCAAGCCUGUCAUGCUCAGGAGCCAUGGGCAAAAGGGCAGGUGCCUGAACAGGCUGAGAAAAAGAGGCUCUUGAUGAAUCUUCAGUCUUAAAUGACAGGGUGGGAUUUUGGAAGAAAUCAGACAGCUGGAAGCCAAAUGUUUAAUAGAAUAGCAAUCUCUUGCAAUGUUGAGGAGGGUAAUGAAGAAGAAUGAAAUGGGGGUAGAAAGCAGUCAACUAAUAAAAAGGCUCCUUUCAGGAACUGGAAGACCACAAUUAGGUAACCGCGAAGCCUUCUCUUCUCCAGGGUGAACUAUCCCAAUUCUCUCAGCCUUUCCUAAUAGGGGAGAUGCUCUAUACCUCUAAUCAUCUUGGUGGUCCACCUCUGGAAUCGCUCCAACAGAUCAAUGUACUUCCUAUUCUGGGGACCCCAGAGCUGGAUUCAAGGGAGAGUCUCAUGAGAGUGGAGAAGAGGAGCAGAAUGAUAUCCUCAACCUGCUGGCCACACUGCAUUUGACACAGCCCAGAACAUGGUUGUCUUUCAGGCUGCAAGCGCACAUUGCUGGCUCAUGUCCAGUCUCUCUUUUGUUAUGUAGCUGCAAAUGUUAAAAACAUGCUAAGUGAAAUACAUAUUUUGCCUGGGCAUCCUUAAAAAAAAGAAAGAAAUAGAAUUUAUAAAGCCAUUAUAGGAAAUGUUUUGCCUCUAUUUUAAGGGUUUCAGAAACUGGUGCAGUGUCAUGGCUCCAGUGCUACUCUUUUGAAACACCAAAUUAUUCUUAUAUGAAGGAGCCUACAUCUUUGAAACUGGAGAUUUCUAACUUCAGCUUACAUCUCCUGGAUUUUGACUGAGGUAGGAGUGGAGAAGAAGGGAAUAUUUUCUGGCUUGGUUACCCCUUAGAGGAGAUUGGGAUAACAUUCUCAGCAGUUGCAUGUUUUACUUUCUUCUCGGUUAGAUCACUGGUAUUACUGAGCGUUGGGUUUGGGAGAGAGGGAGGUGUUUGUUUUUUUGGCUAAGUUUUUUAUUAUUACCCAGAUGUAUUGUUUAAACAUUCUGAGGGGUGAAGAAGUAUAGUUUGCAGUAAAAAACUAUAUGCUUACUGAAUCCUUUUUAAAGUCUGAGUGUAUGCUGUCAAAAGGUGCAGAUUUGAAAAUGUUUCAUUUUAGUUGAUAAAUUUUUCACAGCUCCCUUUGCUAAAAUUGGUAACCUACCUACCACACCAUAUAUGAUGGAACUAUUACCCUGCUUCGGAACAGGGCUCUAUCUUGAACCACUUGCCUCUGCAUUAUUAUUUAUAAUCAACAUUUAAUAAUAGCUCUAAAUGAAGCUCUUUUAUUCCUCAGAUAAGAGGGCCUUUACAUGAUUUUUAACCAAAGUAACCAAGGAUGUUUGAUUAUUCCCUUAAACAACUUCAUCAGCCAUCUCUAUGACUAACACUUACUAUAUGUUCUAUUGUGUUUAUCAUUUGCUUUCCGUUAUUAAGGCAAUAUUGGAAUUAACUCUCCUUUAAGUAGAAUAGAUUGUUACCCAGUGUAACUUCCCAUUCCCCAGCUCUUUCUAAGAGUUUAAAAGUGUCUCAGGGUGGUGUGUUUCAUCACAGAUGUGUUCGCAGCUCUUUGGACUGCUUUGGACUAGUCUCUACAAGGAAGCUGCAUGCAGUUUCCUAAGUGAGGUUUUUCCCAUCUUUCCCAGAGAAACAAAAAAAAAAAACCAAACCCACACAUGCCACCCCAAAAGUAUUGAUGUCACCUGGCAUGAAGCAGAAGUGGUCUCUUCCAGCAUUAGGCAGUCAGAGACCUCUUGGGUGUUUCAUUUCACUUCAACAUCAAUAAGAGGCAGGUCAUCAACAGCAAAGAUCACAAUGCGUGUUUCAACUAAAACUCAUGAAUAAAGCACAGUUCCUCUGAGACUCUGCUCUUAUCAUCAUCAUCAUCAUCAUCAUCAUGGCUAGGCUUCGUGAAUGAAGAUUUGGGAAGGGCUUUACCCACGUUUGUCACAAGCACGCUGAUGGCUAAAAAGGCCAAUACGAGAUAGGCACAUCCAGUUGCAAAAGGCACAGCAGAAAGACUCCU